rnacentral:rRNA from 1 species
ACAGGUGGUGCAGGGCCGUCGUCAGCUCGUGCCGUGAGGUGUUGGGUUAAGUCCCGCAACGAGCGCAACCCCUGCCCCUAGUUCCCAGCGGUUCGGCCGGGCACUCUAGGGGGACUGCCGGCGACGAGCCGGAGGAAGGAGGGGAGGGGGUCAGGUACUCGUGCCCCUUAUGCCCUGGGCGACACACGCGGUACAAUGGGCGGUACAAUGGGUUGCGACCCCGCGAGGGGGAGCCAAUCCCCAAAGCCGCCCUCAGUUCGGAUCGCAGGCUGCAACCCGCCUGCGUGAAGCCGGAAUCGCUAGUAAUCGCGGAUCAGCCAUGCCGCGGUGAAUACGUUCCCGGGCCUUGUACACACCGCCCGUCACGCCACCCGAGUCGGGGGCUCCCGAAGACACCUGCCCCAACCCGAAAGGGAGGGGGGGUGCCGAGGGAGAACCUGGCGAGGGGGGCGAAGUCGUAACAAGGUAAC